ACUCUAUUCAGAUGCUGGGAGACUCUGAAAACCCCAUUUCUGCUUUGCCAACUGCUCCUUGAGAGUCUCUGCCAGGGGAAGGCAAAGCCCAGAGGACUGAGGCAGAAACCUCAUGGACUGCAGCCCAACAGGUUCCUCUGUCCAUGGGAUUUCCCAGUCUCAUGUACAGAUGUGAGAGCUGGACAAUAAAAAAGGCCGAGCACCGAAGAAUUGAUGGCUUCAAACCGUGGUGCUGGAGAAGACUCUUGAGAGUCCCUUGGACAGCAAGGAGAUCAAGGCAGUCAAUCCUAAAGAAAAUCAACCCUGAAUAUUCAUUGGAAGGACUGAUGCUGAAGCUCCAGUACUUUGGCCACCUGAUGCUAAGAGCUGAUUCAUUGGAAAAGACCCUGAUGCUGGGAAAGAUUGAAGAGGAGAAGGGGAGGACAGAGGAUGAGAUGGUUAGAUGGCAUCACCGACUCAAUGGACAUGAGUUGAGCAAGCUCCGACAGACGGUGACGGACAGGAAAACCGGGCGUGCUGCAGUCCAUGGGGUCGCAGAGUCUUGGACACAACUGAGAGACUGGGCAGAACAGAUCACAAAGCCCUUCUCUCUCCCCAGAUUUUCAUGCUGCGUUCACCAAUGCUUCGCAAGUACUGUGUCUUGCUUUGUUUGGUUUUUGGCUAUGACUGGGGUUUGCAGCUUGAAGAAAGGGCUGUGUUUUAUUCAUAUUUGAGUCAGUACAAUAUGGAACAAAGACAGCAUAAAGUAGGGGCCUGACGUAGAGGAGACAGAGAGUACCAUAAACCUUUGGGGAUUCCUGGAAAUCUGACAGUGGACUUUGGAGAUCUCAUAGGCAUGGACUUGAACUGGAGUCUAGAAGGGCAGGGAGGUCUGCAGGCAUUGUGGCAGAGCUGAUGGCGACCUCCAAAAGGGUUCAAACCAAGGGGCACCUCCCAGAAGUACUGCGGCCAGUGCCCCCGGCCCUGUGGUGAGCCGUCGUGACCCACGCCUCCGCGGGAGACCCUCCAACACUAGCAGGUGAAGAACGCUACAGCAUUUCUCAAAGCUGCUUGUUGUUUAUGGCAUUAUGGCGGAUGCCAUAAACAAGUUCCGUGCCUCUGAUCUCCAUGCCCCAUCGAGGAAUUGUCUGGACCCAGAGAGGUGUUCAUGAUUGUUCAUUGCUCAUGUCAUUUUAUCAGACUCUCUGCAUUUCAAACUGCAUCUGAACCAUCACAGGCAACUGUUAUUCAAUCAGAAUUCAAUGCCUAUUCUCUAAAUCUCUCCAAAUAAAUUAUUCCAAUUUUAAAUUUAAAAAAGGGCAGGGAGAACCCAGCUGACAUCUGGGUAAACAUGUAUUUAUAAACCUAAAUAAAAUCCACAAAAAUAAAAGU
ensembl:lncRNA